rnacentral:rRNA from 1 species
CCAAGUUUUUAAGGGCGCACGGUGGAUGCCUUGGCACCAGGAACCGAUGAAGGACGUGGGAGGCCACGAUAGUCCCCGGGGAGUCGUCAACCAGACUUUGAUCCGGGGGUUUCCGAAUGGGGAAACCCGGCAGUCGUCAUGGGCUGUCACCCGCUGCUGAACACAUAGGCAGUGUGGAGGGAACGAGGGGAAGUGAAACAUCUCAGUACCCUCAGGAAGAGAAAACAACCGUGAUUCCGGGAGUAGUGGCGAGCGAAACCGGAUGAGGCCAAACCGUAUGCGUGUGAGACCCGGCAGGGGUUGCGCAUGCGGGGUUGUGGGAUCUCUCUUUCACAGUCUGCCGGCUGUGAGACGAGUCAGAAACCGUUGAUGUAGACGAAGGACAUGCGAAAGGUCCGGCGUAGAGGGUAAGACCCCCGUAGUCGAAACGUCAGCGGCUCGUUUGAGAGACACCCAAGUAGCACGGGGCCCGAGAAAUCCCGUGUGAAUCUGGCGGGACCACCCGCUAAGCCUAAAUAUUCCCUGGUGACCGAUAGCGGAUAGUACCGUGAGGGAAUGGUGAAAAGUACCGCGGGAGCGGAGUGAAAUAGUACCUGAAACCGUGUGCCUACAAGCCGUGGGAGCGUCGGAUGCAGCUUGCUGUAUCUCGUGACUGCGUGCCUUUUGAAGAAUGAGCCUGCGAGUUUGCGGUGUGUUGCGAGGUUAACCCGUGUGGGGAAGCCGUAGCGAAAGCGAGUCCGAACAGGGCGUUUCAGUAGCACGCUCAAGACCCGAAGCGGAGUGAUCUAGCCAUGGGCAGGUUGAAGCGGAGGUAAGACUUCGUGGAGGACCGAACCCACCAGGGUUGAAAACCUGGGGGAUGACCUGUGGUUAGGGGUGAAAGGCCAAUCAAACUCCGUGAUAGCUGGUUCUCCCCGAAAUGCAUUUAGGUGCAGCGUCGUGUGUUUCUUGCCGGAGGUAGAGCACUGGAUAGGCGAUGGGCCCUACCGGGUUACUGACCUUAGCCAAACUCCGAAUGCCGGUAAGUGAGAGCACGGCAGUGAGACUGUGGGGGAUAAGCUCCAUGGUCGAGAGGGAAACAGCCCAGAGCAUCGACUAAGGCCCCUAAGCGUACGCUAAGUGGGAAAGGAUGUGGAGUCGCACAGACAACCAGGAGGUUGGCUUAGAAGCAGCCACCCUUGAAAGAGUGCGUAAUAGCUCACUGGUCUAGUGAUUCCGCGCCGACAAUGUAGCGGGGCUCAAGCGUACCGCCGAAGUCGUGUCAUUGCAGCAUAUAGCCCCAACGGGUGCUGUGAUGGGUAGGGGAGCGUCGUCUGCCGGGUGAAGCAGCACCGGAAGGUAGUUGUGGACGGUUGACGAGUGAGAAUGCAGGCAUGAGUAGCGAUACAAACGUGAGAAACGUUUGCGCCGAUUGACUAAGGGUUCCUGGGUCAAGCUGAUCUGCCCAGGGUAAGUCGGGACCUAAGGCGAGGCCGACAGGCGUAGUCGAUGGAUAACCGGUUGAUAUUCCGGUACCCGCUGUGAAGCGUCAAACAUCGAGCAUCGUGAUGCUAAGGCCGUGAAGCCGCCCUGAUCUCUUCGGAGUUGAGGGGAGUGGUGGAGCCGCCGAACCAAGCGGUUAGUAGGUGAGUGAUGGGGUGACGCAGGAAGGUAGUCCAUCCCGGGCGGUGGUUGUCCCGGGGUAAGGGUGUAGGACGCGAGGUAGGCAAAUCCGCCUUGCACAUAGUCUGAGACCUGAUGCCGAGCCGAUUGUGGUGAAGUGGAUGAUCCUAUGCUGUCGAGAAAAGCCUCUAGCGAGUUUCAUGGCGGCCCGUACCCUAAACCGACUCAGGUGGUCAGGUAGAGAAUACCGAGGCGUUCGGGUGAACUAUGGUUAAGGAACUCGGCAAAAUGCCCCCGUAACUUCGGGAGAAGGGGGGCCACACUCGGUGAUCGGAUUUACUCCGUGAGCUGGGGGUGGCCGCAGAGACCAGCGAGAAGCGACUGUUUACUAAAAACACAGGUCCGUGCGAAGCCGUAAGGCGAUGUAUACGGACUGACGCCUGCCCGGUGCUGGAACGUUAAGGGGACCGGUUAGCUUGGAUUCGUCCAGGCGAAGCUGAGAACUUAAGCGCCAGUAAACGGCGGUGGUAACUAUAACCAUCCUAAGGUAGCGAAAUUCCUUGUCGGGUAAGUUCCGACCUGCACGAAUGGCGUAACGACUUCUCGACUGUCUCAACCAUAGGCCCGGUGAAAUUGCACUACGAGUAAAGAUGCUCGUUUCGCGCAGCAGGACGGAAAGACCCCGGGACCUUUACUACAGUUUGAUAUUGGUGUUCGGUUCGGCUUGUGUAGGAUAGCUGGGAGACUUUGAAGCUCAUACGCCAGUAUGGGUGGAGUCGUCGUUGAAAUACCAGUCUGGUCGUGCUGGAUGUCUAACCUGGGUCCGUKAUCCGGAUCAGGGACAGUGUCUGAUGGGUAGUUUAACUGGGGCGGUUGCCUCCUAAAGAGUAACGGAGGCGCCCAAAGGUUCCCUCAGCCUGGUUGGCAAUCAGGUGUUGAGUGUAAGUGCACAAGGGAGCUUGACUGUGAGACCGACGGGUCGAGCAGGGACGAAAGUCGGGACUAGUGAUCCGGCGGUGGCUUGUGGAAGCGCCGUCGCUCAACGGAUAAAAGGUACCCCGGGGAUAACAGGCUGAUCUUCCCCAAGAGUCCAUAUCGACGGGAUGGUUUGGCACCUCGAUGUCGGCUCGUCGCAUCCUGGGGCUGGAGUCGGUCCCAAGGGUUGGGCUGUUCGCCCAUUAAAGCGGUACGCGAGCUGGGUUUAGAACGUCGUGAGACAGUUCGGUCCCUAUCCGCUGUGCGCGUAGGAAUAUUGAGAAGGGCUGUCCCUAGUACGAGAGGACCGGGACGGACGAACCUCUGGUGUGCCAGUUGUUCUGCCAAGGGCAUGGCUGGUUGGCUACGUUCGGGAGGGAUAACCGCUGAAAGCAUCUAAGCGGGAAGCCUGCUUCGAGAUGAGUAUUCCCACCUCCUUGAGAGGGUAAGGCUCCCAGUAGACGACUGGGUUGAUAGGCCGGAUCUGGAAGCCCAGUAAUGGGUGGAGGUGACCGGUACUAAUAGGCCGAGGGCUUGUCCUC